CCGAGCAUUAUUGCAUUCAUAAACGUUGGCUGCAUCGGACGUUAAUGUCGGGUGCACUAUUCGUCUUAAGUCAGUAUUUCUCAGACAAAAAACCAAGAAAAAUACAACGUCACUGUUUGAGUGUGUAUCAUUUUAAAAAUAAAAAGUUCUUAAAUUUAUGAAAAAAGAAUACAUAUCAUUAUGUGUUAUUCCACACCGAAAAUUUCAACAACAUUCGAAGAAAUUUAGAAACAUUAACAGACAUUGAGCAACAUGGCUAGUGCUUCGGCUCCCUUCAUCGCAUCCCAAUUCUCUCUGAAUACCACUCGUGAUCUAUGUUCACUCAAAUACGAAAAAUUUGUCAAACCAAACACAGAGCCUUCACGAUUAUUUGUGUUGCCAACGACUUGUGUUUCUUCAAUUGGUACGGCGGGGCGACCAACUGGAUGAAAGCCCACGUAAUGAUGGGAAGGCUACUCGCUGCCUGCCUAAAGCGAACCACCCCCUCUGGCGCAGUUUGCAGUUUUGCGGUUCUGCGGCUGCUUGUUUUUUUAAAGGGGGGGGAAUGUUUGUAAUGAUUUAUUUAUGUACUAAUAUCUAUUCAGAAUUAAUAUUUUGUGUUCUGCCACAAAUGGUGAAAUU